ACAAGCAGACAGCUCCCGUGAGCAAGCAGGCAUGUGUGGCUGUGGGAUCAGAUGACGAAUUGCACUUUGGCUCAGCUUCCCAUGCUCACUACCCAGGAACAAAUUCCUCAGGAUCCUGAAAGAGAUGGAAAGCUAAAUUUUCCAGUGAAUUUCCCACAAAGUUGUCACUUCACCAGCUGAGCCAGAACCACUGCUACCGCCACCAACACAGCCUCUGUACAGCCACAGCCAUGGCCACAUCCAGCUUCUGCCACAGAACUGAACAUUUGUCAGCCUGAUGACUCCAGGAACCAGCUCACUCCAGUUAAGGGUGAGUUAAUCUCUGAGGUCCUUCUCAUCAACCACCUCUUGUAAACACCUGGUGACGCUUUACAGCACAAGGUCAAAGAUAA